GGAAGUGGAUCGUGCGGAGCAAGCAUCACACCAUGGCGUAUGAGUGUUCCUCUGUGUAGACUCAACCUGCGCCUCGCCGUCCCCCAUUCGCACACCCGAUGCCCGGGGGUCGCUACGGACUUAAAAUCUCCGCACCGCACCCUCCACCUCAGAAACGUUCCUGGAUCCGAACACUGCCCCCUGACGACCUAGAGAGAUCCCGGCUCCCAGCCCACUGAGUGGCUUCAGCCUCGCUGGCACCUCCCAACUCCUGGCCUCUCUGCACGAGGCGCCUGCCCCGGGCCCCGCCUACAGGGGACCCAGCUCUUCUUGCAGCCACUGGAAGCUGAUCACCUGGAGUGAAGACCUCACACGAAGAAGUCUGGAAGAAGAGGAAGAGGAAAGAAAAGGAGUCAGGGAUGGCCCUUACUCAGAUUCCAUCUCCCGUGAUCCAGUGACAUGAACUUGGGAAGAGGCUGCACUGGGCAUGGUCCUGGGAAGGGCUCACACCCAGACAUGGAUGGAGACGGGGUGAGGGUCCUGUGGUGUCAGUGCUGUUGGGCAGCAGGGAUUGCUCAGGGGCCGCAUCUGGAUGCACUGUCAG
rnacentral:lncRNA from 1 species